rnacentral:rRNA from 1 species
AAGCGAUGGAGCAUGUGGUUUAAUUUGAUGCAAAGUGAAGAACCUUACUAGGGCUUGACAUGUCACGAAUCCUCUUGAAAGAGUGGGGUGCCUUUAGGAAUGCAAACAUAGGUGGUGUAUGGCUGUUGUUAGUUAAUGCCAUAAGGUGUUGGGUUAAGUCCCGUAACGAGCACAACCCUUAUUUUAGUUGCCACUAUUAAGUUUAGAACCUUGAGCAGACUACCAAUGAUAAGUCAGAGAAAGAUCAGGAUGAUGUCAAGUCAUCAUCCCUUGUAUGCCCUAGUG